rnacentral:rRNA from 1 species
AUUGAACGCUGGCGGCAUGCUUUACACAUGCAAGUCGAACGGCAGCGCGGGCUUCGGCCUGGCGGCGAGUGGCGAGCGGGUGAGUAAUGCAUCGGAACGUGCCCAGUAGUGGGGGAUAGCCCGGCGAAAGCCGGAUUAAUACCGCAUACGACCUGAGGGUGAAAGCGGGGGACCGAAAGGCCUCGCGCUAUAGGAGCGGCCGAUGUCGGAUUAGCUAGUUGGUGGGGUAAAGGCUUACCAAGGCGACGAUCCGUAGCUGGUCUGAGAGGACGACCAGCCACACUGGGACUGAGACACGGCCCAGACUCCUACGGGAGGCAGCAGUGGGGAAUUUUGGACAAUGGGGGCAACCCUGAUCCAGCCAUGCCGCGUGCGGGAAGAAGGCCUUCGGGUUGUAAACCGCUUUUGUUCGGGAAGAAAUCCUCUGGGCUAAUACCCCGGGGGGAUGACGGUACCGGAAGAAUAAGCACCGGCUAACUACGUG